GUCGAACGAUGAAGCCCUUCGGGGUGGAUUAGUGGCGAACGGGUGAGUAACACGUGGGCAAUCUGCCCUUCACUCUGGGACAAGCCCUGGAAACGGGGUCUAAUACCGGAUAACACUCUGCGCAUUGGGGGUUGAAAGCUCCGGCGGUGAAGGAUGAGCCCGCGGCCUAUCAGCUUGUUGGUGAGGUAGAAGCUCACCAAGGCGACGACGGGUAGCCGGCCUGAGAGGGCGACCGGCCACACUGGGACUGAGACACGGCCCAGACUCCUACGGGAGGCAGCAGUGGGGAAUAUUGCACAAUGGGCGAAAGCCUGAUGCAGCGACGCCGCGUGAGGGAUGACGGCCUUCGGGUUGUAAACCUCUUUCAGCAGGGAAGAAGCGAAAGUGACGGUACCUGCAGAAGAAGCGCCGGCUAACUACGUGCCAGCAGCCGCGGUAAUACGUAGGGCGCAAGCGUUGUCCGGAAUUAUUGGGCGUAAAGAGCUCGUAGGCGGUCUGUCACGUCGGAUGUGAAAGCCCGGGGCUUAACCCCGGGUCUGCAUUCGAUACGGGCAGACUAGAGUGUGGUAGGGGAGAUCGGAAUUCCUGGUGUAGCGGUGAAAUGCGCAGAUAUCAGGAGGAACACCGGUGGCGAAGGCGGAUCUCUGGGCCAUUACUGACGCUGAGGAGCGAAAGCGUGGGGAGCGAACAGGAUUAGAUACCCUGGUAGUCCACGCCGUAAACGGUGGGAACUAGGUGUUGGCGACAUUCCACGUCGUCGGUGCCGCAGCUAACGCAUUAAGUUCCCCGCCUGGGGAGUACGGCCGCAAGGCUAAAACUCAAAGGAAUUGACGGGGGCCCGCACAAGCAGCGGAGCAUGUGGCUUAAUUCGACGCAACGCGAAGAACCUUACCAAGGCUUGACAUCGCCCGGAAAGCAUCAGAGAUGGUGCCCCCCUUGUGGUCGGGUGACAGGUGGUGCAUGGCUGUCGUCAGCUCGUGUCGUGAGAUGUUGGGUUAAGUCCCGCAACGAGCGCAACCCUUGUUCUGUGUUGCCAGCAUGCCCUUCGGGGUGAUGGGGACUCACAGGAGACUGCCGGGGUCAACUCGGAGGAAGGUGGGGACGACGUCAAGUCAUCAUGCCCCUUAUGUCUUGGGCUGCACACGUGCUACAAUGGCAGGUACAAUGAGCUGCGAUGUCGCAAGGCGGAGCGAAUCUCAAAAAGCCUGUCUCAGUUCGGAUUGGGGUCUGCAACUCGACCCCAUGAAGUCGGAGUUGCUAGUAAUCGCAGAUCAGCAUUGCUGCGGUGAAUACGUUCCCGGGCCUUGUACACACCGCCCGUCACGUCACGAAAGUCGGUAACACCCGAAGCCGGUGGCC
rnacentral:rRNA from 1 species